rnacentral:lncRNA from 1 species
GGACUUUCCUCUGCGGGCGCAUCACAGCGUUCUCACACUCGGGAACACCAGUUGGCACUUCAGUACUGCCCUUCGGGUCCAUACCAAUCAGCGAAUCAUCAAACAGCCCCAAAAUGCUGAACACGUCACCCCAAAAAACCACGGAAAGAACACUCAUUUACAGAACAAGAGCUAAAACAGGAAGGCUGCGUCUCCCCGCGCCUUGGUCCACGUCAGCUGGGCAUGCGCACGCCAGGCAACUCAACUUUUUCACUACUCUGCGCAUGUCCACACAGGUCAGCACAUGACCUGAAAAGCGUCAAUAUCCUAAAUUAUCCAUGGUUUAGAUGCAGUGCCCAAAUAAUUAAGAAACCAGAAGCAACUCUAAACCUAUCAUUCAGCUUGUGAAGUGCACGUUUCUCUCAGUCGCAUAUUGUUAAUGCAGAGCUUUUGCUUUGAAAAAGCACAAACUGGAACAAAGCAAGUUGAUACUCCCUAAAAGAUUGGAUGUGAAAAAUAAUCGUGGGUGACUGCUUGGUUUACCUUGAAAAUAUACUGAGAACAGAGUUCUACUUUCUGUUCGUUAUUAGUUGCAAGGUGACUCUGAAAUAAAU